rnacentral:lncRNA from 1 species
UCCGUGCGCGUCACAUAGCGCGGGGACAAAGUCCAGGGGCCGCACACUGUGCGCGCACUGUCCGUGUAGUAGGUCUACGUGAAUAGGCCUACUUGUGAUGCCCCAGCGCGCGGCAGGCUAGCCCGGCACCUGCAGGAUAGGCCUGCAGCAUGUGUCGGCCAGGUGAGGCACACUGCGGCCUCAAGUAGUGUGGGUAGCGUGCUGUCGCUUGGGGUGUGUUGCUACCGGUAGAGGAAAAAAAUUUCAU